UACGAGUUUGAUCCUGGCUCAGAGCGAACGCUGGCGGCAGGCCUAAUACAUGCAAGUCGAACGGUCUCUUCGGAGGCAGUGGCGGACGGGUGAGUAACGCGUGGGAACGUGCCCUUUGGUACGGAACAACUGAGGGAAACUUCAGCUAAUACCGUAUGUGCCCUUCGGGGAAAGAUUUAUCGCCAUUGGAGCGGCCCGCGUUGGAUUAGCUAGUUGGUGGGGUAAUGGCCCACCAAGGCGACGAUCCAUAGCUGGUCUGAGAGGAUGAUCAGCCACACUGGGACUGAGACACGGCCCAGACUCCUACGGGAGGCAGCAGUAGGGAAUCUUGCGCAAUGGGCGAAAGCCUGACGCAGCCAUGCCGCGUGAAUGAUGAAGGUCUUAGGAUUGUAAAAUUCUUUCACCGGGGACGAUAAUGACGGUACCCGGAGAAGAAGCCCCGGCUAACUUCGUG
rnacentral:rRNA from 1 species